rnacentral:rRNA from 1 species
GAUGAACGCUAGCUACAGGCUUAACACAUGCAAGUCGAGGGGCAGCAUUAGGUAGCAAUACUGAGAUGGCGACCGGCGCACGGGUGCGUAACGCGUAUCCAACCUUCCCGUUACUCUCGGAUAGCCUUCCGAAAGGGAGAUUAAUACGAGAUGGUGUUGAAAUUCCGCAUGUUAUUUCAACUAAAGAUUCAUCGGUAACGGAUGGGGAUGCGUGACAUUAGGUAGAUGGCGGGGUAACGGCCCACCAUGCCUACGAUGUCUAGGGGUUCUGAGAGGAAGGUCCCCCACACUGGAACUGAGACACGGUCCAGACUCCUACGGGAGGCAGCAGUGAGGAAUAGUGGUCAAUGGUCGGAAGACUGAACCAGCCAAGUAGCGUGAAGGAUGAAGGUUCUAUGGAUUGUAAACUUCUUUUAUACGGGAAUAAAACCGCCUACGUGCAGGUGCUUGUAUGUACCGUAUGUAUAAGCAUCGGCUAACUCCGUGCCAGCAGCCGCCGCGGUAA